GACGAACGCUGGCGGCGUGCUUAACACAUGCAAGUCGAACGGAAAGGCCCUGCUUUUGUGGGGUGCUCGAGUGGCGAACGGGUGAGUAACACGUGAGUAACCUGCCCUUGACUUUGGGAUAACUUCAGGAAACUGGGGCUAAUACCGGAUAGGAGCUCCGGCUGCAUGGUGGGGGUUGGAAAUUUUCGGCGGUUGGGGAUGGACUCGCGGCUGAUCAGCUUGUUGGUGGGGGAGUGGCUUACCAAGGCUUUGACGGGUAGCCGGCCUGAGAGGGUGACCGGCCACCUUGGGACUGAGAUACGGACCAGACUCCUACGGGAGGCAGCAGUGGGGAAUCUUGCACAAUGGGCGGAAGCCUGAUGCAGCAACGCCGCGUGCGGGAUGACGGCCUUCGGGUUGUAAACCGCUUUCGCCUGUGACGAAGCGUGAGUGACGGUAAUGGGUAAAGAAGCACCGGCUAACUACGUG
rnacentral:rRNA from 1 species